AUGGCGACGGCGACGGCGACGACGGCGUGCCUGCUGGCGGUCUGGUCGCUGGUCGCCGCCGGUCUGUUCGGCACGGGCCUCGCCCGGUCGUCCGUGGCCCCGGCCGCCGUCGGGAAGGAGCAGCGCGAGUUCGACUACUUCGCGCUGGCGCUGCAGUGGCCGGGCACCAUCUGCUCCUCCACCCGCCACUGCUGCGCCGUCAACGGCUGCUGCCGGUCGGAGGCACUCCACACGUUCACGAUCCACGGGCUGUGGCCGGACUACGAUGACGGGACCUGGCCGUCGUGCUGCCGCCACACCAGCUUCGACAUGGACAAGCUAACGCCCCUGAAGCCCGCUCUGGACAAAUACUGGCCGUCCCUCUACUGUUCGUCCUCUUCCACUUGUUUCAGUGGCAGGGGGGCCUUCUGGGCUCAUGAGUGGGAGAAGCAUGGAACAUGCUCGGCCCCUGUUGUUCAUGAAGAAUUACAGUACUUCACCGCCGCCAUUGAUCUCUACCUCAAAUAUAACGUCACGGAAAUGCUGGCGACUGGAGAUAUCCUGGUCUCCAACGGUAAAGAAUAUGCACUGAGUGAUGUCAUUGAUACCAUCAAACAUGCUUUUGGGGGCUCACCGCAGAUCAUAUGCAAGAAGGGCUCAGUUGAAGAACUAAGGUUAUGCUUCACCAAGGAUUUGAAGCCUCGUGAUUGCCUGACUACUUCGGCAAUGUACAAGAACCUAUCGAAAUCAAAGCAUUGCCCUAAAAAAAUCUCCCUGCCAACAUAUGAUCCCAUCGUACUCACAAAUUCGACACUGGAGAUUGUCCCAGAAGCCAGCGACAAUGGGUUGUACUUCUAUACAUCCUAA
rnacentral:rRNA from 1 species